CCCCUAGAUGUUCUGGGCCGCACGCGCGCUACACUGAACAGUUCAACAAGUCUUAACCUUGGCCGAUAGGUCUGGGUAAUCUUUGAACGCUGUUCGUGAUUGGGAUAGACCUUUGCAAUUAUGGGUCUUCAACGAGGAAUUCCUAGUAAACGCAAGUCAUCAGCUUGCAUUGAUUACGUCCCUGCCCUUUGUACACACCGCCCGUCGCACCUACCGAUUGAAUGACUCGGUGAAAAAUUGGGACUGUUUAUUUGUUUGCUUCAUUGCGAACGUUUGAAUGGAAACUUUUUUUAACCUCGCCAUUUAGAGGAAGGUGAAGUCGUAACA
rnacentral:rRNA from 1 species